rnacentral:lncRNA from 1 species
CAGGAAUCUGGCACAAGUCUUGCUUUGUUCGCAUACAUCAGGUAUUAAUUUUUACGUUUAACUAAAUAUAGAGCUUAGUAAUUAGUCAGAAAUUGACUGUUUUGUUUGUUGCUCAUCUCUAGAAAUCACCUUAUAUUUCUGGUGGGGAUCACAUUACACAAAGUGCUGAAGAGGAUGAUACAGAAGAUGACCAAUUUGUUGAGGAUUAUGUACCAGACUCUGAAUCACCAGACGAUGUGGGUGAUGAAGAUUUAGAUGAGCUCCCCAAUCCAAAUAUAUGGCUGACACAAAACUCGGAUACAAGUCUUGCUCCUGCUUCUAGUGCAUCAGAAACCAGCCAGCCAGUUAGUUCUUCAUACACCUCAGAGUUGCAUUCAGAGAAUGGUCCACAAAGAGGAGAUUCACAGAUGACAAGGUCCAUAAAUUACUGCUUUAUCUGUGGUAAGGCACAAAUGAAAAUAUCGCGACAUCUUGCAACACACAAGACCAAUGCAGAGAUUAUACAUGUCUUUUCCCUUACUGAUGUCAAGGAGCGCAACAAACUGCUUGAAAAAAUUAGGAAUAAAGGGAACUUUUUACAUAAUCAAGCAGUAUUACAAAGUGGGAAAGGGCAAUUGAAAGUAAAGCGACGAUGCAAAAAAACAGCUUUAGAUGGAAAGUUUAUUCACUGCAUGUAUUGCCAAGGUAUGUUUCUCCGCAAAGAACUAUGGAGGCAUACUCGCAGGUGCCCUCACAAACCAGAAAAUGCAAACCAAGAACAGACGUCUGGAAGGAGAAGGAUACUCAGCUUUGCAGCAGCUCAGGAUUCUGCAUUAUGUGCGCAAAUCUCGGGUGGGGUUUGGAAGCUUCUGAGUGUUAUGAAUGUUGAUGAAGUUGGAUCAGUUGUGCGAAAUGACUUCUGUAUUCUCCAGUUUGCCCAGUCACUUUACAACAUUCAUGGAAAAGAUACAACAAAGUAUGAAUACAUAAGACAAAAACUGAGAGAAGUGGGACGUCUGCUGCUGUGCUUGCGCACAGAUUUCUCUGUGCCAACCCUAGAAGAUGCUGUUAGGCCUGCAAAUUUUGAGAAAGUGGUACAAGCGGUCAAAAAGGUAGCAGGUUUUAAUGAUGACAAUUUUUCGUACAAAACACCGAGCCUUGCUCUUAAACUUGGCCACACACUAAAUAAGAUCUGUGACAUCAUCCACUGCAGGGGCUUGAUGGCAGAAGAUGAGAAGCUGGUUAAGUAUACUGAAACAUUUAAGAAGUUGCUCAGUACCAAGUGGAAAGAAUAUGUAUCUCACAAUGCCCUUAACACACUGAGUGAUGCCAAGUUUAAUAAACCUUUAACCUUACCAUUCACUGAAGAUGUUGUGAAACUUCACAAGUUUUUGGAAAAGGCAGCAGAAGAGGCCACAAG